GUUCAGAUAGUUCAGUUGGUUAGAGCAAAGGACUGAAAAUCCUUGUGUCAGUGGGUUGGGAAUCUUUCUAGACU
rfam:Oryza punctata chromosome 12, whole genome shotgun sequence.